GAUGAACGCUGGCGGCAUGCCUAAUACAUGCAAGUCGAACGAGAGGAAGGAAAGCUUGCUUUCCUGAAUCUAGUGGCGAACGGGUGAGUAACACGUAGGUAACCUGCCCAUGUGCCCGGGAUAACUUCUGGAAACGGAUGCUAAAACCGGAUAGGUAGCAGACAAGCAUUUGACUGCUAUUAAAGUGGCCUUGGCCAUGAACAGGGAUGGACCUGCGGUGCAUUAGCUAGUUGGUGAGGUAACGGCCCACCAAGGCGACGAUGCAUAGCCGGCCUGAGAGGGCGGACGGCCACAUUGGGACUGAGACACGGCCCAAACUCCUACGGGAGGCAGCAGUAGGGAAUUUUCGUCAAUGGGGGGAACCCUGAACGAGCAAUGCCGCGUGAGUGAGGAAGGUCUUCGGAUCGUAAAGCUCUGUUGUAAGAGAAAAACGGCACUCAUAGGGAAUGAUGAGUGAGUGAUGGUAUCUUACCAGAAAGUCACGGCUAACUACGUGCCAGCAGCCGCCGUAAAAC
rnacentral:rRNA from 1 species